rnacentral:lncRNA from 9 species
AGUUUCGUUACGGAGAGAAAGGGAGGUGGAUGUCUUACAUCUUUAAAGCAGCAAGUCUGUCCCCUUCGUGCUCAUUGAGAAUAUCUGAUACCUUCAUGUUUGGACUCAUCCAGCCCCCAUCUCCUCAGUCUAUCUCAGAUCUGACGGUGGAGGCUGCUUUGUCCAGGACCAACCUUUUCUCUUGCCUCAUUUCUGUUAUGCCAGCUGAUGAAGAGCAUGCUAUGCCCUCAGCUUCUUGGACUUCACCCUGGCCCUGGAAGUCUGCCGGAAAUCACUGAGGGUUUCUGUAUUGUUGAAUGAUGCGAUCUGCCUUCCUUUGGGAAGAUAACCUUGUCCUGGGAUUAGGAAGAGGAGGAAGAGCUCUACACCCACCUGAUCUGCCCGGUCUUGGGGGUCCAUCACCUCUCUAAGAACCAUCUUCAUCUCCUCCUCCUCCUCUGUGCCCUUCCAGGAAAAGAGGAGCAGACUCCUCUGCUCCCAGGUGGAGAAAAGCAUGAAUUCUUUAAAAUACUUUGAGUGUAGAGUAUGGGUGUGUGGAAAACUUCCUGGAGGAGGUGAGAUGAUCUAAGGGAGGCACGUUGCUCUUGUGGGAUGGAGCAGAGCAUUCAGGGUGGAGAUUCCUGGAUGAUAUGGACAGAGGCAGAGGUGAAGUUUCACAUUUUGGAGGAUGGAUAUAGCUGGGCUGCUUUGAAAGAGACAUAUCAAGAUGGAAGUGGACCCAACAUAAAAGUUAGUGGACACGACACAAAAUUGAGUGGCAGGCAUCAAUGAUUUGGAUCAGUCACCCGAGCACAUUCCCUGGAAUUCCAGCAAGUUCACAGAAGGGAUUUUCCUUCUUCAAGCCCCUCUCCCUGCCCUGCCAAUUCUUGACAGUGAUGUUAAACCACACCUGCUUGGCCCCUGAGACAUCUCUCACCUGCCCCGGGUCCUACAGGAAGAUGAACUGCCAAGGUGAAAAGGCUCACGGCAAGAGCGGUGUGUCCUGGGUGUGUGCCAACUUAGAAUCACAAGAAAAAGUUAACUAAGAGAUUCAUGGGACAAUGGUUACUGUCAACAAACAUUUGGUGGAUGGUCACACAUUUGGUUCUGACUUGUCCUCUGGAGAUCAAGGAAUUAGAACGGAGACAGAGGUGGGAGUUUCUAAAAAGAGGAGUUUAAUUUUAAUGUAAAGAAUAACUUCCAAUGGGCAGAACUUGAACACUGAACCUUGAAAUGGAUAGAAUGAGCUGCUUUGGAGGUCCAAGAGGCAUGGCACUGCAGUUGUCUAAGCAGGCAAUCAACAGCACUUGCCAGGGACAAUGAAUAGGAGAAUCCAGCCGUAGUGUGUGUGUGUGCGUGUGUGUGAGAGAGAGAAGUGAAUAAAUCAUUUCAAAACAAUCACAGGACCAUUUUGUGAAAACUUCUGAAUUUGUCUACCACAGCUGAGUACUCAUUUCAGUCUUGUGGAGACUAUCUGAAACCUAAACAGGUUCUUUGCUUCUUUGAUUUUUCUAGUUCAUACAUGCCCAAGGCUCAAUAAGAUAAACAGUCAUUUGCAGGGAGAAAACCUGGGUAUUUAUUCUUGGCUUUCUUUUGUUCUUUUCAAAAAUAGAGAUCUUUGUUUGACGAGAAACAGCAUUGCUUCUCUCUAGAGCAGAGAUCAAUAAUGGCUUUUCUGCUAGAGCUAGCAUGUAUAUUUUCUUUAUUUCCAAGGGAUCACUACUGGGAACAGGGAAGCAGAAAGCCCUCAUUCAACUGGAUGCCCUAGAACUUUUGCUUUUGGACAAAAAUUUGAAAAGUGCUUUGCAAGAGGUCACUUUGUGGAUAGCCCCUCAGGCUCAGAGUCUUUCACUUUCUUCCUGCCCUUACCUUGAAGUUAAGAUUUGUUUCUGUAUGGCACCCCCUUGUCUGAGAGACAGUGACUGGUGCUAUUGCUAUCUGGUAGGGACCAGUAACCAAUUAUAGGACUAGGAGUGGAUCUCUGGAACUCAUACUUGACUCCAUGCUAGAGGCUACAAGGAAUAAAUAAAGAGGUGAGUGCAACCUGGAUAUUUGAGGUAGAAUUCAAAAGAUGGGGAGAAAAAAAACUCGGGAAAGCUGCCACAAGAUUUGGUAGGAGCACAAAGUUAGGUAAUAGAGUCUGAAUAGGAAGAUCAGAGAAAUAUAAACAUAGGGACAUUCUUAGAGGUGAGGUAAAGACAGAAGCCAAGAAAGAAACCCAAGCCUUUCUUAACGCAUCAAGCAGGGAUAGCCAACUCCUCUGUUUCAUGGUUCCAACUAAUUGAUAUGAAAAAGUGUGUUAGGAGUAGUCUGGUUUAGAAGCAGCAGUCAAGAUAAAUAGACAGAUGGGAUUAAGAUGGCGGAAUAGAAGGACUGGAGCUCAGCUUCUCUCCUAAAAACAACAAAAUUCACAACUAAAGCCUGGGCAAUCUUCAACCAAAUGGACUAGAAACCUUAAAAAAGAUAUCCUACUCCAGAAGACAAAGAGGCCACAUCAAGAGGUCAGAGGGGCAAUUACGUGAUAUAAACAAUCCCAUACCUCACGGGUGGGAAGUCCCACGGACUGGAAACUAACUGGUUCACAAAGUCACCUACAGGAGUGAGAGUUCUGAGCCCCACAUCAAACUCCCACAUGUGGGGAUCUGGCACUGGGAAAAAGAGCCCCUGGAGCAUCUGGCAUUGAAGGAAACAGAGACCCCAUUCUUCAAAGGCACACACAGACUUUAACAUGCACUGGGUCCCAGGGCAAAGCAAAGUCUCCAUAGGAAUCUGGGUCAAACCUGACUGUAGUUCUUGGAGGACAUCAUGGGAAAACAGGGCUGAAUGUGGCUUGUUGUGAGGGAAGGUCAUUGGAAGCAAAGCUCUCAGGAAUAUUCAGCAGCCCUGCCUUUCUCUGGAGGGGGCCAUUUUGGGAAAAUCUGGCCCCACUUAUCAGCACUGAGAAGCCCCAGGGCAAACAACAAUCCAGAUGGGAUCACAGCCCUGCCCCUCAGUAAACAGGCUACCUAAAGACCCCCCCAGGCACACAACUGCCUCUAAUCCCAUCCAGAGACUAAGCCCCACCCACCAAAGGGAUUAGAAUCGGCCCCACCUACCAGUGGGCAGGCAUCAGUUCCUCCCAUCAGGAAGCCUACAGCAAACCCCCAUACCAACUUCAGCCACAAGGGAGGAAAACACCAGAAGUAAGAGAGGCUACAACUCUAUUAUCUGCAAAAAGGUCUCCACACCAAAAACCUGUAAAAAUGAAAAGACAGAGAAGUAUAACUCAGAUGAGGUAGAAGGAAAAAAACCCAGAAAAUCAGCUAAGCGAUGAGGAGAUCCUCAGCCUCCAGGAAAAAGACUUCAGAUUUUUGAUGCUAAAGAUGAUGCAAGACAUUGGAAAUAAACUGGAGGCAAAGAUGGAUAACUUAGAGGAAACACUGAGCAAAGAGAUACAAGAUAUAAAACUUAAACAAGAAGAGAUGCAAAAUAAAAUAACUGAAAUGAAAAAUUCACUAGAAGCAGCUAACAGCAGAAUACAGGAAGCAGAAGAACGAAUAAGCAAGGUGGAGGACAGAUUAGUAGAAACUACGAAUGCAGAACAAAAAAGAGAAAAAAGAUUGAAAACAAAUGAAGAGAGUCUCAGAGAACUCUGGGACAACGUGAAACGUGCCAACAUCUGUAUUAUGGGGUGCCAGAAGUAGAAGAGCGAGAGAAGGGGACAGAAAAAAUAUUCCAAGAGAUAAUAGACAAAAACUUCCCUCACACGGGAAGGAAUCACUCACUCAAAUCCAGGAAGCACAACGAGUACCAUAUAAAAUAAACCCAAGGAGGAAUACACCAAGACACAUAUUAAUCAAACUGACCAAAAUUAAAGACAAAGAGAAAAUCGUGAAAGCAGCUAGGGAAAAGAAACCAGUAACAUACAAGGGAACCCCAAUAAGGUUAUCGGCAGAUUUUUCAGCAGAAACUCUGCAGGCCAAAAGGGAGUGGCAUGAUAUACUUCACGUGAUGAAAGGAAAAAACCUCCAACCAAGAUUACUUUACCCAGCAAGGCUCUCAUUCAGAUUUGAAGGAGAAAUCAAAACCUUCACAGAUAAGCAAAAGUUGAGAGAAUUCAGCAACACUAAACUAGCCUUACAACAAAUACUAAAGGAACUUCUCUAGGCUGAAAAGAAAAGACAGCAACAGGAAACAAAAAUAUCACAAAUGACAAGGCUUACCUGUAAAGGUAUAUAUACAGUAAAGACACGAAAUCAUCCAUGUACAAUUAUGCCACCAAAAUCAGAAAUCAUGAGAAGAGGUGGGUACAAAUGCAGGAUACUGGAGAUGAACUUGCAAUUAAGAGAACAACAACUUAAAACAAUCUCAUAUACAUAU